CAGUGAUAAACUGGAGGAAGGUGGGGAUGACGUCAAGUCAUCAUGGCCCUUACGACCAGGGCUACACACGUGCUACAAUGGCGCAUACAAAGAGAAGCGACCUCGCGAGAGCAAGCGGACCUCAUAAAGUGCGUCGUAGUCCGGAUUGGAGUCUGCAACUCGACUCCAUGAAGUCGGAAUCGCUAGUAAUCGUGGAUCAGAAUGCCACGGUGAAUACGUUCCCGGGCCUUGUACACACCGCCCGUCACACCAUGGGAGUGGGUUGCAAAAGAAGUAGGUAGCUUAACCUUCGGGAGGGCGCUUACCACUUUGUGAUUCAUGACUGGGGUGAAGUCGUAACAAGGUAACCGUAGGGGAACCUGCG
rnacentral:rRNA from 7 species